rnacentral:rRNA from 1 species
UUGAACGCUGGCGGCAGGCCUAACACAUGCAAGUCGAACGGUAACAGGAAGCAGCUUGCUGCUUUGCUGACGAGUGGCGGACGGGUGAGUAAUGUCUGGGAAACUGCCCGAUGGAGGGGGAUAACUACUGGAAACGGUAGCUAAUACCGCAUAACGUCGCAAGACCAAAGAGGGGGACCUUAGGGCCUCUUGCCAUCGGAUGUGCCCAGAUGGGAUUAGCUAGUAGGUGGGGUAACGGCUCACCUAGGCGACGAUCCCUAGCUGGUCUGAGAGGAUGACCAGCCACACUGGAACUGAGACACGGUCCAGACUCCUACGGGAGGCAGCAGUGGGGAAUAUUGCACAAUGGGCGCAAGCCUGAUGCAGCCAUGCCGCGUGUAUGAAGAAGGCCUUCGGGUUGUAAAGUACUUUCAGCGGGGAGGAAGGGAGUAAAGUUAAUACCUUUGCUCAUUGACGUUACCCGCAGAAGAAGCACCGGCUAACUCCGUGCCAGCAGCCGCGGUAAUACGGAGGGUGCAAGCGUUAAUCGGAAUUACUGGGCGUAAAGCGCACGCAGGCGGUUUGUUAAGUCAGAUGUGAAAUCCCCGGGCUCAACCUGGGAACUGCAUCUGAUACUGGCAAGCUUGAGUCUCGUAGAGGGGGGUAGAAUUCCAGAUGUAGCGGUGAAAUGCGUAGAGAUCUGGAGGAAUACCGGUGGCGAAGGCGGCCCCCUGGACGAAGACUGACGCUCAGGUGCGAAAGCGUGGGGAACAAACAGGAUUAGAUACCCUGGUAGUCCACGCCGUAAACGAUGUCGACUUGGAGGUUGUGCCCUUGAGGCGUGGCUUCCGGAGCUAACGCGUUAAGUCGACCGCCUGGGGAGUACGGCCGCAAGGUUAAAACUCAAAUGAAUUGACGGGGGCCCGCACAAGCGGUGGAGCAUGUGGUUUAAUUCGAUGCAACGCGAAGAACCUUACCUGGUCUUGACAUCCACGGAAGUUUUCAGAGAUGAGAAUGCGCCUUCGGGAACCGUGAGACAGGUGCUGCAUGGCUGUCGUCAGCUCGUGUUGUGAAAUGUUGGGUUAAGUCCCGCAACGAGCGCAACCCUUAUCCUUUGUUGCCAGCGGUCCGGCCGGGAACUCAAAGGAGACUGCCAGUGAUAAACUGGAGGAAGGUGGGGAUGACGUCAAGUCACCAUGGCCCUUACGACCAGGGCUACACACGUGCUACAAUGGCGCAUACAAAGAGAAGCGACCUCGCGAGAGCAAGCGGACCUCAUAAAGUGCGUCGUAGUCCGGAUUGGAGUCUGCAACUCGACUCCAUGAAGUCGGAAUCGCUAGUAAUCGUGGAUCAGAAUGCCACGGUGAAUACGUUCCCGGACCUUGUACACACCGCCCGUCACACCAUGGGAGUGGGUUGCAAAAGAAGUAGGUAGCUUAACCUUCGGGAGGGCGCUUACCACUUUGUGAUUCAUGACUGGGG